GAUGAACGCUGGCGGCGUGCCUAAUAUAUGCAAGUCGAGCGAACGGACGAGAAGCUUGCUUCUCUGAUGUUAGCGGCGGACGGGUGAGUAACACGUGGAUAACCUACCUAUAAGACUGGGAUAACUUCGGGAAACCGGAGCUAAUACCGGAUAAUAUUUUGAACCGCAUGGUUCAAAAGUGAAAGACGGUCUUGCUGUCACUUAUAGAUGGAUCCGCGCUGCAUUAGCUAGUUGGUAAGGUAACGGCUUACCAAGGCAACGAUGCGUAGCCGACCUGAGAGGGUGAUCGGCCACACUGGAACUGAGACACGGUCCAGACUCCUACGGGAGGCAGCAGUAGGGAAUCUUCCGCAAUGGGCGAAAGCCUGACGGAGCAACGCCGCGUGAGUGAUGAAGGUCUUCGGAUCGUAAAACUCUGUUAUUAGGGAAGAACAUAUGUGUAAGUAACUGUGCACAUCUUGACGGUACCUAAUCAGAAAGCCACGGCUAACUACGUG
rnacentral:rRNA from 1 species